CACAGUUUUUAAAGUAUCUAGUGUAUAUAAGGACAAGCCAUUCUCAGUCAAGCAUGAAACUGAAUCUGAGGAAAAGAAGAAAGCUGAAAACACACUGAGGAUUAUGGGAGAGGGGCAAGUGCAUGAAGCUUCUCAAUGACAUACAGACACUCUAAAAGCUCAAGAGAUCAAUUAUUCAACUUCAAGAACUGAAAUUUGAACACAGAUUUUGAGCUUCCAAAUCAGGAGAAAAAGAAGUGUUCUAUAAGAAGUUUGGACAAGACUCUGCAAGAAGUUAAGAGCUGCUAAUAUGGGAAAGAUUGAAAUCAGCAAGUUUCUGGCUGUAAGCUAAAAGAGGCUCUUGAAUCAUAUUUCCGCCUGCUUAGCAAAUUUCUCUUGCGACAAUUGGAUGUUAUUUGGGGUUCCAUACUAGCAGGAAGAAGUACAAGCAAAGCUAAGUCAUUUUGAGAAUAAAUAUUAUCUCUCUAUAUAUUUGUAAAUGUUAUUUUCUUUUUUUUUGAGGUUUAUGAUUGAUCCUUGGCAUGUGUCCCCUUGUGUAUUGCUCUACUAAAAAUAGCCUAAAAAAGAAUUUUCCCCUCGAUGUGGAGCUUCUCUUUAGUUACAAUUCUACUUUCUCCUUCACUUGAGUAUCAGUCUUCAGAGAACUACCAUAACAAAGGAGUGGAUACAGAUAUACGCAAAAAAGUCUAUGAGAAAAUUAGUACAUUAAAUUUGUGAAAGCUCAUUUAAAGUAAUUUUCUACUAACAAUUUUAAUCAAAUGUAUUAAUCAUAUUUCUAUGCUUAGUGAUGUUAAAUAAAAAUUUAAAAGGUGGCAAUCAAUAAACAGAGAUAAAAGCUUCUCAAGAAUAAAUGAAAGGAAGUAAUAAAAAGACUCACUAAGCUGAAUUGCCUCCUAUCAACAGCAGCUGAUAAAAUAUUAAAAGAUUUGCCUUGUGUAAUGUCUCUGGAGAGCUGUCUUACUGAUGUACGAGGCCAUGAUUGACAACUUUGAGACUUUGCUGGAAGCGACAAAAGUAUAUCUAUAAUAUUAUGCUGAAUUGCAUAGGUCUUUCUUCUUAAAUGAGGCUAGAAAUAACAUACCACCAAGUGUUUGGCUUUUAGGAAAUUGAGCAUUUUCUUUAGUUCUAGCUGCAGUUUAAUUUCCUCAGAAUUAGACAUUAUGCGGUAUCUGGAACGUUAAAAAAAAAAAAAAGCAAAAACAGAGUAUUGUACCUAAUGAUAUGUCAAAUAAUUUUGGAGGAAUUAAGAAAUCACUGGAAGAAAUUACAUGGGUGGGUAAUGGUUUUUAUGUCACAAUAAAUAAUUAGUAAUAUUUACUGACACAUUUCAUGUGCCUGGUACUGAGCUAAAUGAUUUAUGUGCAUUGUUUGUAUUAAGCCCCCAAAAUUCUGUGGUAUAUGUAAUGAUAUUUCCAUUUUUCUUGAGAUAAGGAACUGAAACUCAGAAAAGUUAAGGAACUUGUCCAAGAUUAUAGUAAGUGGCUUAGUUCAAUUUUGAAUCUAGAUCAAUCUGACUCCAACCAGCAUGAUGAACUGAAACUGACUAUGAGGCUGGUGACACUCUAGGCAUUUAUUCACAAGAGGUAUUGUGAUGACAUGUGAGAGAAUGUUGGAUGAAGGAAGCACAUACUAGAAAGAUAGGAAAGACCAGAAAACACAGGGAAGUGCUAUUUAUUUGCUUUCCUAGUUCCAGUAACUUGGUCUAAUGGGGAGGAUGAAAGUAGACAGAUACCUGAAAACACUUUGAGAUUUAUGUAUAAGCAGCAUGACUUCAGUGACCAAGCCACACAGAAUCUGGGAGUGGAACAUUUUCUUUGGUCAUUAUGCCACUGCGGCAUGGUUUGUUAGUGCAGUGAGAACUAAAGUAUAGUGUGGUAACCUGAAACUGUUAUGGUUAUGGGUACACCUGGGUGGGUAGCUGUUCACCCCUUCACAGAGGGUAGGAGUGGUGAUAGCAAAGUAGCUCUUCGCAGUAACUUUCAGAACAUAGACAUUAUGUAAGAUCUGAAGUUUGAAAACCUGAAACAAAAGCAGAGCAUUAUAUCCAAGCACAUUGGAGACAACUGUGGAGGAAUCAAGGAACAUCUAGCAGAGAUUUAAUGUUUUAGGGACUGUUUUUUAUUUCAGAAGGUAAUAAGUGUAAAACAGUCAAACUCUAGGCAUAGGGAUGAACAUUAUUUUGUGUCAUAAAUUUGUCUAAUAUAGUUGCUGCUUCAGCAUCCAGUUUUGGCUUGUCAUGGUCAAGGUGACCAGUCAUGCCCUGUCACCUUUGGUUUUAUUAAAAUUUUCCCUCCUUUAGUGGUUAUUUGUGAUAUAGCCCUGUUGUUCCCCAUCUCACUGACCCCAAAUUCAACACAUGCCACAGCUGCUGGCCACAGUGAAAACUAAUGAUCAACACCAGUCAUGUGAAUAAGACGUCCCUUCAUGUGUUUUCUUUAAGCUAGCCUAUCCACAGCCCCAUGGGAAAGCCUAAAGAAUAGUACCUGUGGAUUAUAAUAAAGACGUCUUACUGGUUCUUGCUCUCUAUCCCUCUCUCUACACACUGGUCAAGUACACUCUUGUCUCCAGACUUCCCAUUGGCCUCCUGUCAACACCUGUACCCACUCUGGACCUGGGAAUAAUAAACUUCUUUUUUUUUUUAAUGUAUUUUGGUUUCACUUCCUCAUUGUAUCUCACCUGACACACACAUACUAUAGUGUUCUCAAUAUUAUUUAAUGUGUUUAACAAAUCAUAACAGAUAAUAUAUGAUUGACACUGUGCCUCCUGAUUUGAUGCAAUAUGGACUAUUCCACAUCACUGAUGAAGUAGUCAUACAAAAAAUAUUUAUCUUGAAUCAAAGCAAGAUUUUAUACCAAAAUUCUAGUUCAAGUUACCUGAUAGAGGAACAUAUUAAACAAUACUAUGUGUAAACAAUACUAUGUGUAAACAAUCAGAAAAAUAAUAGAUUGUAGCCUUCAAAAAACGAUGGCCUUACAAAACAAAUAAACAAAAAGUUUGUGUGGGUGUGUACAUGCAAGGGCUAAUCUCAAAUGCAGAAAGACCAGAAUACAAUAACAAAUAUAAUUCUUGAAAGUGGAUUUCAUCUUGGUUUACCAAAAAUAGCUAUGAGGGAAAUUUGGGUAAGAAUUAGAGAAUUCUGAAUAUAGAAUGAAUUAAAACAUAUUAUGAAUUAAGUUAAUAUUUUUGAUGUUUUCUUUUGAUAUGUUCUUUUAGAAUAUGUAAUAUCCCUAUUUAUUGGAGAUGUGUGCUAAAUUAUUUACAAAUAUUUGGGUAUCUGAAAUUUACUUUCAAAUGCACCAAAAAUAAUAGCUAUACAAAAAGAAAUACAUUAAAUUUACUCUAUAGUAGUAGUUAUUCUUUCUGAGAGGUUUACACAGUAUUUUCCUGUUCUUUUGUAUGUAUGUAUUUUUAAAAGAACGUAGGCCUGGCGCAGUGGCUCACGCCUAUAAUCCCAGCACUUUGGGAGGCCGAGGUGGGCGGAUCACGUGGUCAGGAGAUCGAGACCAUCCUGGCUAACACGGUAAAACCCCGUCUCUACUAAAAACACAAAAACAAAAUUAGCCAGGCGUGGUGGCGGGCGCCUGUAGUCCCAGCUAAUCAGGAGGCUGAGGCAGGAGAAUGGCGUGAACCCGGGAGGCGAAGCUUGCAGUGAGCCGAGAUCAUGCCACUGCACUCCAGCCUGGGCGACAGAGCGAGACUCCGUCUCAAAAAAAACAAAAACGAAAACAAAAACAACAUAAAUAAAUUGAUAAUAUAUCUAUUUUGAUACAGUCAUGGUUAACAUAAAUAAUCCUGGUUAUAUCCAUAUAAAACCAUGAAUAUACAGUAAUAAAUAUUAUAAUUACAAGUAAAUCACCAUAAAUAAAUUCUGUUUUCAAUGUUUCUACU
rnacentral:lncRNA from 10 species